AGCUUUACUUGCCGCUGCCGCGCUGCCCCGGCAAGCAAGCAAAAGCAAGCGAGUGAGCGGAGCGGAGCCUGCCGAGAUUCGAUCCCCCGCCUCCCCGCUGCGGCGCAAGUGCAACCACCACCAACCUCCCGAGAUCACGAGACCGCACCACACUCCCUCCGCGCAGCCGCGGGAGCUCGAGAUCUGAGCUGAGACGCGCUCCGCUCCGUUCUGCUCUGCCACGCUCUGCUCGCCCCCAAUGCCGCGAGCGGGAGGAGCGUCGCCGGCGGUGAGCCGGUAAUACCACUGUAUAGCACGGAACACUAGCCUGCAGGCCUCCCGACCCGUCUCGGGGAAUGAGGCCGCGGCGGCACUCAUACGGCAGGGGCGGCAGGAGCGCGGCGGCGGCGGUGCUGCUGGUGCUGUGCCUCUGCGUCACCGGCGUCUUCCUCCUCCUGCUGCACGGCUCCUCCCCGCCGCUGGACGCGGAGGGAGGGAAGGAGCAGGCGGCCGCGGCAGGAGGAGGAGGGGGGAGGCACGAGGAGCCGAUGGUCCUGGCCGAGGUGGAGGAGGCGCCGCUGCCGCCGGGGAACGCCAGGGUCGCCUUCCUCUUCAUCGCCCGCAACCGCCUCCCGCUCGACCUCGUCUGGGACGCAUUCUUCCGUGGUGACAACGAGGGGAGGUUCUCCAUCUUCGUGCACUCGCGGCCGGGCUUCGUGCUCACCCGCGCCACCACCCGCUCCCGCUUCUUCUACAACCGGCAGGUCAACAACAGCGUCCAGGUGGAUUGGGGGGAGGCGAGCAUGAUCGAGGCCGAGCGCAUCCUUCUCAGCCAUGCACUCAAGGACCCCUUCAAUGAGCGCUUCGUUUUUGUGUCCGACAGCUGUGUACCAUUGUACAAUUUCAACUACACUUAUGACUACAUAAUGUCUGCGUCAACCAGCUUUGUGGACAGUUUCGCCGAUACAAAACAGGGCAGGUACAAUCCACGAAUGGACCCAAUCAUCCCGGUGGAGAAUUGGAGAAAAGGCUCACAGUGGGCUGUGCUAAUUAAAAAGCAUGCUGAAGUUGUGGUUUAUGAUGAUGUGGUGUUGCCAGAAUUCAAGAAGCAUUGCAGGAGAAGGCCCUUACCAGAGUUCUGGAGGGACUGGGAUAAACCUAUUGUUCUGGAUGUUAACAUCUGGCCUUAUUCCUGUGACAUGAAUUGCAGCCUGCUGAGGCAUGGAAGGCACAUAACUGCAUACCAGAUGAGCACUAUGUUCAAACAUUGCUUGCACAAAAUGGGCUUGAAGAAGAGCUUACGCGGAGAUCAGUUACACAUAGCGCAUGGGAUCUAUCAUCUUCUAAAGAUCGUGAAAGGCGUGGAUGGCAUCCUGUAACAUACAAAGUCUCUGAUGCUACACCCGCACUUAUAAAAUCCAUUAAGGAUAUUGAUAAUAUAUAUUAUGAGACUGAAUAUAGAAAAGAGUGGUGUACAAGUAAUGAGAGACCAGCACCUUGCUUCCUCUUUGCAAGGAAGUUUACACGCGGAGCCGGUCUGAAGCUUCUUAACUCAUCAUUUAUAGCAGCGAGAUGAUGAGUAUAUAGUGCAGGGGACAUCUGCUAUGUAAAGGUUUUCUCCCUUACAAGCAGAAUACUGCCAGUUUGCAUAUACCUAAAGGAAAGGGGUGGAGAUGACAGAAAAUAGCAGCGAUUUUUGGCCCGUGUUAGAUAUAAUUUGUUGUACUCUAGAAAGUACAAUAGGGUGUUGUAAAGAGAUAAACUUAUGCUUCAUAUAGCGCUAGGUUAGUACACAUGUUAACUUACAGCUCAGCUCAGCAUUGUAACUGGAACCGUAAGCAACUAUCCACAGUUGGAUCUGGAAGAACCACUUAAGUUCUAUUCUUGAGAAAAUCCUUUCUGCAAAUUUAUGGAAGCAGUUGCAUCUUGUGGCA